CCUACGGGUGACAGCAGUGGGGAAUAUUGCACAAUGGGGGAAACCCUGAUGCAGCGACGCCGCGUGAGUGAAGAAGUAUUUCGGUAUGUAAAGCUCUAUCAGCAGGGAAGAAGAAAGACGGUACCUGACUAAGAAGCCCCGGCUAACUACGUGCCAGCAGCCGCGGUAAUACGUAGGGGGCAAGCGUUAUCCGGAUUUACUGGGUGUAAAGGGAGCGUAGACGGCUUUACAAGUCUGAAGUGAAAGCCCAGGGCUCAACCCUGUGACUGCUUUGGAAACUGUGGGGCUAGAGUGCUGGAGAGGUAAGUGGAAUUCGUAGUGUAGCGGUGAAAUGCGUAGAUAUUGGGAGGAACACCAGGGGCGAAGGCGGCUUACCGGAGAGGAACUGACGUUGAGGCUCGAAAGCGUGGGGAGCAAACAGGAUUAGAGACCCUUGUAGUC
rnacentral:rRNA from 1 species